CCUACGGGUGGCAGCAGUGGGGAAUAUUGCACAAUGGGCGAAAGCCUGAUGCAGCAACGCCGCGUGAACGAAGAAGGCUCUUGGGUCGUAAAGUUCUGUUCUGAGGGAAGAAGAAAGUGACGGUACCUCAGGAGAAAGCCCCGGCUAACUACGUGCCAGCAGCCGCGGUAAUACGUAGGGGGCAAGCGUUGUCCGGAAUUAUUGGGUUUAAAGGGUGCGCAGGCGGCCUGUUAAGUCAGCGGUAAAAGCCCGGGGCUCAACCCCGGCGAGCCGUUGAAACUGGCGGGCUGGAGUUGGAGAGAAGUACGCGGAAUGCGCGGUGUAGCGGUGAAAUGCUUAGAUAUCGCGCAGAACCCCGAUUGCGAAGGCAGCGUACCGGCUCCACACUGACGCUGAGGCACGAAAGCGUGGGUAUCGAACAGGAUUAGAUACCCCAGUAGUC
rnacentral:rRNA from 1 species